UACAGAGGUCCCAAGCGUUGUUCGGAUUCAUUGGGCGUAAAGGGUGCGUAGGUGGCGCCGUAAGUCAGGUGUGAAAUCUCGGGGCUUAACUCCGAAACUGCAUUUGAUACUGCGGUGCUUGAGGACUGGAGAGGAGACUGGAAUUUACGGUGUAGCAGUGAAAUGCGUAGAGAUCGUAAGGAAGACCAGUGGCGAAGGCGGGUCUCUGGACAGUUCCUGACACUGAAGCACGAAGGCCAGGGGAGCAAACGGG
rnacentral:rRNA from 1 species